rnacentral:rRNA from 1 species
UACGUAGGGUGCGAGCGUUGUCCGGAAUUAUUGGGCGUAAAGAGCUUGUAGGCGGUUUGUCGCGUCUGCUGUGAAAAUCCGGGGCUCAACCCCGGACUUGCAGUGGGUACGGGCAGACUAGAGUGUGGUAGGGGAGACUGGAAUUCCUGGUGUAGCGGUGAAAUGCGCAGAUAUCAAGGAGGAACACCGGUGGCGAAGGCGGGUCUCUGGGCCGUAACUGACGCUGGAGGAGCGAAGGCGUGGGGAGCGAACAGGA